UACGUAGGGUGCAAGCGUUGUUCGGAAUUACUGGGCGUAAAGGGCGCGUAGGCGGCCUGCUAAGUCGAACGUGAAAUCCCUCGGCUCAACCGGGGAACUGCGUCUGAUACUGGGUGGCUUGAAUCCGGGAGAGGGAUGCGGAAUUCCAGGUGUAGCGGUGAAAUGCGUAGAUAUCUGGAGGAACACCGGUGGCGAAGGCGGCAUCCUGGACCGGCAUUGACGCUGAGGCGCGAAAGCCAGGGGAGCAAACGGG
rnacentral:rRNA from 1 species